rnacentral:rRNA from 1 species
CGGAAAGGCCCUUCGGGGUACUCGAGUGGCGAACGGGUGAGUAACACGUGGGUGAUCUGCCCUGCACUUUGGGAUAAGCCUGGGAAACUGGGUCUAAUACCGAAUAUGACCGCGCACUUCCUGGUGUGUGGUGGAAAGCUUUUGCGGUGUGGGAUGGGCCCGCGGCCUAUCAGCUUGUUGGUGGGGUAAUGGCCUACCAAGGCGACGACGGGUAGCCGGCCUGAGAGGGUGACCGGCCACACUGGGACUGAGAUACGGCCCAGACUCCUACGGGAGGCAGCAGUGGGGAAUAUUGCACAAUGGGCGCAAGCCUGAUGCAGCGACGCCGCGUGAGGGAUGACGGCCUUCGGGUUGUAAACCUCUUUCAAUAGGGACGAAGCGCAAGUGACGGUACCUAUAGAAGAAGGACCGGCCAACUACGUGCCAGCAGCCGCGGUAAUACGUAGGGUCCGAGCGUUGUCCGGAAUUACUGGGCGUAAAGAGCUCGUAGGUGGUUUGUCGCGUUGUUCGUGAAAACUCACAGCUUAACUGUGGGCGUGCGGGCGAUACGGGCAGACUAGAGUACUGCAGGGGAGACUGGAAUUCCUGGUGUAGCGGUGGAAUGCGCAGAUAUCAGGAGGAACACCGGUGGCGAAGGCGGGUCUCUGGGCAGUAACUGACGCUGAGGAGCGAAAGCGUGGGGAGCGAACAGGAUUAGAUACCCUGGUAGUCCACGCCGUAAACGGUGGGUACUAGGUGUGGGUUUCCUUCCUUGGGAUCCGUGCCGUAGCUAACGCAUUAAGUACCCCGCCUGGGGGAGUACGGCCGCAAGGCUAAAACUCAA